rnacentral:rRNA from 1 species
AUUGAACGCUGGCGGCAUGCCUUACACAUGCAAGUCGAGCGGGGUUUUCGGACCUAGCGGCGGACGGGUGAGUAAUGCGUAGGAAGCUGCCCGAUAGAGGGGGAUACCAGUUGGAAACGACUGUUAAUACCGCAUAAUGUCUACGGACCAAAGUGUGGGACCUUCGGGCCACAUGCUAUCGGAUGCGCCUACGUGGGAUUAGCUAGUUGGUGAGGUAAUGGCUCACCAAGGCGACGAUCUCUAGCUGGUUUGAGAGGAUGAUCAGCCACACUGGAACCGAGACACGGGCCAGACUCCUACGGGAGGCAGCAGUGGGGAAUAUUGGACAAUGGGCGCAAGCCUGAUCCAGCCAUGCCGCGUGUGUGAAGAAGGCCUUCGGGUUGUAAAGCACUUUCAGCGAGGAGGAAGGGAUGUAUGUAAAUAGCAUGCAUUUUUGACGUUACUCGCAGAAGAAGCACCGGCUAACUCUGUGCCAGCCGCCGCAGUAACAC